rnacentral:lncRNA from 1 species
CCCCUUGUACCCAUAUCAUAUAUACUUACUCUAUAAAUAGAAUCAUAUACAUGUAUGUUAUCUCAUUCUAUCCCUAGUUUGUCUACUCUUUGUCAGCAUAAAAGCGAGUUUAAUAUUUUGUAACUGCGACUGUAUGAUGGUGCUUACAGGAAAGCUUAAUUCCCUUUUGCAAACAAAAGCUGCUACCGAAUUGCUGCUGGAGAAGGAAUUGGAAGAAGACAUUGAUCAUUGUGUUGAUGAUAAUGUGCUACCUUUAACAACACAGACUGCCCUGAAACGACUGAAAACUUGGAAAAGAGCAUACAUGAGUGGCGAGAGAUUGUGCGGUCUUGCCAUGCUCCAUGUUCAUCGCGAUAAGGAUAUCAGCAGACCAAAUCAUGAUUCUGAAACGAUUUUACUGAACCGGCCAUAGAAAAAUGUGGCAAACUCUACUGAAUCGAUGUUUGUUCUAUGUUCUGGCAG